CACCUUUCUAUGAAACUCUUUCCAGCACUUUCACUUGGACCGAUCCCUGUUGCUGCCUCCUGUUUGCGUCUGACCUGCCUGCUUUGUCGUAAUGCCAGAAAUCAUCUCAGCCUUCUGUCCCCCAAGUCAAGUUGUAUCUCAUUGUUCCUGGUUCCCGUCUGCCUCUCCCUCUGGGCUGUUUGGCCCCUCAUCAGCUCUACUGUAAAAUAGGAGUCACUCAGGGGAAAGGAGCCUUCCUGUGUUCCAGGAUAUAGCAAAGUUUUGGUGAAACAAUGAAGAUCAAAGCUCCUGACUUCCUCUGGAAACCGAUGAAAGUAUUGAGCUCUGGUAUUGAAGGCCUGGUGAAACAAAAAGACAUCAAAGCUCCAGAGCGCUGCUGGAAACCAAUGUCUGCGUGGAAGGCAUCCCUUUCUCCAUCCAGCACAUAGAGCCAGAAUGCUUUGAAGAGGAGAUCUUUAUAGCCAGGACCUGAGAACCACAAAGACCCAACAUCAAUCCAUCAUGAGCACAGCAAUAAGCAACAUUUAGCCAAGAUACAGUGGCAAGCAAAAACGUCCUAUAAGAGGCAGAAACCUCGAGCAAAAGCAGACUCCAAAGCAGCAGACCAUCCCCACCAACGAUCCCGAGGAACCUGUGAGACAUGAGAGCUCAGGAGCUCCCAGGAAAAGAUGUGAAAAUUGACCGGACGUUUUAAUGUUUUUUUCGGUGUCUGACUUCCUGUCCUGCUGGAUAUUUUCUGUUGUAAACUGAUGCGCCGUGCUCCAGGAUCCGGCAAAACUAGAAGCGCAUCUGCUGCAGAAGGCUCUGGACUGACGAAGCUGGAACGCAGCGCAGCGGAGCCAGAGGAAACACACACAUUGAAUAAAAUAAAAUCUAUUAGCUUCACUCUGUUACGGCAGCCGAGACGGACUAAACACGCAUCUGGUGGAAUUUAGAGGUCAUAUUUAGGUAAUAUCUAUGUUUUUGUGGAGUUGGAUAGAAACGGCACAACAGAAACCAUUUCCGGUCAUUAUCAAUGCCAUGGCGAUCGCUGCAGAAAUCUCAAAAUGUGUUUAUUAUGCAAAAUUAGAUUUUCAGAGGAAGAGGGGAAUUAAAGCGAGAUAGAAAACUACCCGAGAGAUAACCAACCGACAUGAAGAGGCAGAAAAGCGUACCAUGACACUAUACACAGCUUGAGCAUCAUGUACAGUAAAAAGCCAUCAUCCCAGGUGGACUUUUGAGCUCUUCAUAAGACAUCCAAUGACUUGAUUGCUACAUCAAAACAACAAGGUAGAGGAGAGCGUUUAGGAGAGGUGAUCGAGGAUUACCUGCUGCGUCAUAUUUAGACACCUUUUAGGAGACUGACCCUGCACUGAAAGAAGAUCCCAAAAACAAACAGAAGAACACAGACAACUCAUCCUGCAGCCUUUUGUGGGGAAUGCACUUACUUUGAAACACAAGAAGAAGAAUGAAAAAUACAUCAAUCACAUGGAUUAAAAAACACAGUCUACAGAUCAAAUAUAAUGCCCUCAUCACUCGUCAUUUACAUAAUUUAUGGAUUAUGUCCUUUGGUUAAAUAUUCAUCGUCUGAGCUCACACAGGAGUCUUACUGGACCCUCAAACCCCGGCACACCAACACGGAGCAGACAGUUGUCUUGCACCGCUUGUUAUUGAAUAAUGAAGCAAGGCCAUUUGGUUCAUUAAUAAUUCAUAGUACGAUAUAAAAUAACCUUGGGCCAAGCCUUGGCUCAAAAGAUGAAAGAACAGACA